rnacentral:misc_RNA from 1 species
GCAAACUUGGUCAUUUAGAGGAAGUAAAAGUCGUAACAAGGUUUCCGUAGGUGAACCUGCGGAAGGAUCAUUAACGAAGCUGAUAGGGAUAGAAGAGCAUGGGGCCACAUGAAAAUGUAGCCCCAGUUCUUUAUCCCAUUUCUCCUCACACACGUGCUCCUGCUUGGUUGGGUGUAUGUUAUCUUUUUAACACACUUGACCAUUCUAUGCAGAUUUAUUUUCUUCGAACGAUUGUUUGGAAAUUGUCUGAAAAUAGAAGGAAUAAUUGUGCCUUUGGGUGCGAUGCCUUCGCAAUUAAAAAAUCAAAACUAUGAGCAACGGAUCUCUAGGCUCUUGCAUCGAUGAAGAACGCAGC